GACCACUUCUGCGCCCGAGUGGUUAGAGCGUUCGCCUCGAAUGCGAGAGGUCGUGGGUUCGAACCCCGUCUGAGUCA